AUUCCAGCUCCAAUAGCGUAUAUUAAAGUUGUUGCAGUUAAAAAGCUCGUAGUUGGAUUUCUGGUAGGAGUGACCGACCCGGACUUGAUUGUCCGUGUGUUUGUGUUGUCUCCGGCCAUCCUCGUGGAGAGCGUUUUUGGCAUUAAUUUGUCGGAGAUGGGACCCGCGUCAUUUACUGUGAAAAAAUUAGAGUGUUUAAAGCAGGCAAUAGCUUGAAUACAUUAGCAUGGAAUAAUAAGAUAGGACUUUGGUGCUAUUUUGUUGGUUUGCACACCAAGGUAAUGAUUAACAGGAACAAUUUGGGGUAUUCGUAUUCAUAUGUCAGAGGUGAAAUUCUUGGAUUUUAGGAAGACGAACUACUGCGAAAGCAUUUAUCAAGGAUGUUUUCAUCA
rnacentral:rRNA from 1 species